rnacentral:rRNA from 1 species
CUCGUAGUUGAAUUUCGAGAUCGGCUUACUGGUCGUGCUUUUGUACGUACUGGUAAAUCGGUUUCUCCCUUCUGACGAACUUUAAUGCCAUUAAUUUGGUGUUUUAGGGAAUCAGGACUGUUACUUUGAAAAAAUUAGAGUGUUUAAAGCAGGCUCACGCUUGAAUACAUUAGCAUGGAAUAACGGAAUAGGACGUUUGAUUCUAUUUUGUUGGUUUCUAGGAUCGACGUAAUGAUUAAUAGGGAUAGUUGGGGGCAUUAGUAUUCAAUUGUCAGAGGUGAAAUUCUUGGAUUUAUUGAAGACUAACUACUGCGAAAGCAUUUGCCAAGGAUGUUUUCAUUAAUCAAGAACGAAAGUUAGGGGAUCGAAGACGAUCAGAUACCGUCGUAGUCUUAACCAUAAACUAUGCCGACUAGGGAUCGGAUGAUGUUAAUUUUUUAAUGACUCAUUCGGCGCCUUACG